rnacentral:lncRNA from 1 species
AAAGAGUUAAAAAAAGAGAGUAUUAAAUGUUUCAAACUUUAAAAAAUAAAAAAGAAAAAGUCAUUAACCUUGAACCAAGUUAGCGCAUAAUUGAGAUGAUGAAUUUGGCGCAAAAGCAAGGCAUGCAUAAUCCUCAUCAUCGUCAUGCCACAAAAUAGGUUGCACUCUGGUGGUAGGAGGAUCAUUUCAUGCCUUUCACGCCAAACCCCGGCCUUCCC